rnacentral:rRNA from 1 species
GAUGAACGCCGGCGGCGUGCCUAAUACAUGCAAGUCGAGCGAACAGACGAGGAGCUUGCUCCUCUGACGUUAGCGGCGGACGGGUGAGUAACACGUGGAUAACCUACCUAUAAGACUGGGAUAACUUCGGGAAACCGGAGCUAAUACCGGAUAAUAUAUUGAACCGCAUGGUUCAAUAGUGAAAGACGGUUUUGCUGUCACUUAUAGAUGGAUCCGCGCCGCAUUAGCUAGUUGGUAAGGUAACGGCUUACCAAGGCAACGAUGCGUAGCCGACCUGAGAGGGUGAUCGACCACACUGGAACUGAGACACGGUCCAGACUCCUACGGGAGGCAGCAGUAGGGAAUCUUCCGCAAUGGGCGAAAGCCUGACGGAGCAACGCCGCGUGAGUGAUGAAGGUCUUCGGAUCGUAAAACUCUGUUAUUAGGGAAGAACAAAUGUGUAAGUAACUAUGCACGUCUUGACGGUACCUAAUCAGAAAGCCACGGCUAACUACGUG